UAUAAACGGGGAUAAUCAGGUAGCUCAUGGUCAGCAUGUCUGUCUGACCCAAUUUCGAUUACUUUUGAAAUUGUGGCUUUUUUUGAAUGACCACUUGUAAAUCCGACUAUUUUUGAAUUUAUCCCAAUUUGUAGCCUAACACGUGUAGCCCAACUAUCAACUCACCGCUUGAUUUCUCUAACUACAUCCGACACUGGUGAGAAGCUCCAUCUGCAAAGUCCCCUUCUUCAAACGGCUCUUCGCUUAAUAUCUCUGCUCUCUCUCACUCCUCCCCUCUGUCUAUUGAUAUUUCCUACUGGAUUUGUCACUGUGAGACUUUCAGUACUCAAAACUCCGGAUUCACAUACAAGUAAAAGAUAAUUGCAAUGGAUAGCCAAUCUGAUCCUCACGCUUUCGCUUUUUCUGCAGCUGAGUUGGAAUUUUUUCAAAAGAUGAUACAUGCCAAACAUGAGAAUGGAUCCUCUCAAUCUUGUAUAUCAACACAGGUGCCUCUCUGGUUAGCAGUUGGUGUUAAAAAACAAAGGAAAAUGUACUAUCAGACCUCCUGAAUCCAUGUCCAUUGGCUUAUUGAAUUGACAUAUGUGGACGUUGUGGGUUGACGACAUUACUGUCUCAUCUGCUACAUCUUUAGAGGCCCAUCAUACUCAUUGUUUCACCUCAGAAUUUCUUCCAAUUACUAAUAAGUCUCAUGUUUCCUUGCUUAAAACACAGUCAUGCUAAUAAUACACUACCAAAACUAAAUAGGAAAAUUCAAUUUCUGCAGAGCCAAAUUCCAAGUUGUUCAUUUCUUUUAAUUUGAUUUUCUUUUGGUAUGUUUAUCCCAGUUAUACCAGUAGUUUCUUAGAGCCUUGUUUUAACUUUCAAGGCCAAUCUACCCUUUGAGCUUAAGAUUGUGUCACUACAAGUUUAACUCUAAUGUUCCUUUAUUCCUGUUUCACUCUUAGAUGAGAAUGUGCAUAGUUCAAGAAUGCCUGAUAGCUCUAACACGAGCAGGGAAAUGAAGAAAACCAAAGUUGAUCAGGCUCAACACAGAGAAAUUUCAGGCAAUUCUAUGAUGUAUAGGAGCUAAGAUUUUGUUGGUGAUCUCUUGUGUAUAGUUAAAGUUUAGAUUCAGUGACAAUAACAUUAAACACUAUGCUUUUGCAGAACACUUCAAAUCACAUAUCUUCUCAAAUACUUGAUUCAGAAGAAAAAUAAAACACCUAUACUUCAUUUCA